rnacentral:lncRNA from 1 species
AUAUAUAUUUUAUUUGAUAAAUAAAUCCAUUUACUGUGGAUUUGUCUUUACUUUCUCUCCUCUUGCGUAAUGUUUGAGUCUUCACGCUGUUUGAAUGACAGUUUCGCAAUUAGUAGCAAAUAUACGAGGAUUUUGGUAAAAAGAUAGUUGGUUGAACAGUCAACCAUCAUGCUCUGCACUGGUGCGCUGCUUCUUGACUAAAGUGAAACCUACAGAAGAGUGAAGCGAAAGCAUAGGCCAAGCCGUUGAAAAGCUUUAUGGAGUAGUGGGCGAGUCAAGCGUUAAAAGUUUUGGAUCAACAAGAUGUAUAUAUAUAUAAAAGUAGAAUUUGGCAACUUGCGGGAAACUUCCUAUUUUGUUAAUUUCUUUGUUUGAAUCUUACUUUUACCAAAACCCAUUCUUUUAUUUUCCAUUGGC